rnacentral:rRNA from 1 species
GAUCAUGGCUCAGGACGAACGCUGGCGGCGUGCCUAACACAUGCAAGUCGAGCGGAGACAUGUUGACGGAAGGCUUCGGCUGGAAGAUGAUAUGUUUUAGCGGCGGACAGGUGAGUAACGCGUGAGCAACCUUUCCUUCACAGGGGGAGUAAGAUACCGAAAGGUAGUUCUAAUACCGCAUGAGACCACAGAGCCACAUGGUUCAGGGGUCGAAAGGAAGGAAUCCGGUGAAGGGUGGGCGUCGCG